UGCUAAAUAUCAUGUAAAUAAAAUAAAUGUAUAAAUAAAAACAUGUAGAACAUAAAAUAGUUUAAUCUUUUGGCUAUUGCAAAGUACUUUGUCCUAAAAAUUACUUAUAAAUAUUUAAGUAUAUUUUAUGGUUUGCUUUCAAAGAUGAUUUAUUAACAUUCACUAUGAAAUAUAUGAAAUGGGUGAAGCAGAUAAUAGCAUUCUGAUUGGAUAAAUAUAGAAACAGAGGCACAGGUAUUUCAGGUGUCUCACUUAAGAUACUCUAUAGUUUAGUCUGUAUUCCAGAUCUGUUGAUACCAUAAUCCAGCAAUUAUGUAUUUUUCAUCUUCAAGUAAAUGUAGUUAAAGAAUGCUGGCACUUGACUAGUUUUUCUACACUCCUUCCACUUACAAUGUUCUUUUUAUUUGCAGUUGCAUUGAAUCUUACAGAUCUAGGACUAUUUGUCUCUUAAAUUCUUGCCUCCCCCAAAGCAUUAGCCCCCAAAGGGCAAUCUCAUUUAUGACUAUGGCAUAUCUGGUUGGCUUGAACACAAUAACUAUGUUGUAAGAGUAUUAAAAAAAAGUUUUAAAUGCAGCAUUAAAAAAUAAUUACCUACAGGUAGAAACUGUAGAAAAUAACUAAUCUGUGUCUAGAUAACCCUCAUUUAUUCUUAAAGACUUAAACUCAAAUACGAAAAGCUAAUAUGGAGUUCAGAAAAGCAAACACUGUCUGGGAUUCUCAAUAUAAUCAAUAUCUCACAUUCAGGUACCAAGAAAAAAGUGCCAUGUCAGUUAAUCUGAGUUGUUCUCUGCCUGAAACUGUGAGGCAUUUUUUUCGUCCUAUUGGCACCACAGAGCUAUGGUAACUUUCCACAGAAAUGGCAAAUUACAUACACAGCUUAGGCUCAAUGAUUUCCUUUAACCAAAAUCCAGAAAAGGGGCAUUUUGAGCUCAGUAAGAAUAGUAAGUGAUGCAGUGUGGUUCUCCUUCCACCCCAGAAAAGGAGUGACUCUAAAUAGAGCCAAAGGAAUGUGGACAUUCCCUCUGAUAAUCACUUUCCUCUCUUUGACCUAAUCUUUAUAUUGAUUUUAUUUUUUAACUUUUUUUUUCUUUCUAAAGGCCUAGUUCACUUACUACUAAGAAUACAGUUGAAAUUAUUGCUCUAAUUUUUGUGAUUAUAAUCAAUGCAUUACACAUAAAGUUAUGGGUGACUCAUAACUAAGUGUUCUGGAAGUUAUAGGCGACACAUAGCUAAACAGAGUUAGGGAGAUCUUUCAGAUUAUUCUAAAUUAAAAAAUUAUUAUCAUUCACUAUAUAUCUUAUUCCAUUUACAAUCCCAAAUAUCAGUUAUUCAAGGGACUGAAGAAAAACCCAGAUAAAACCCUUAAAAUACAAGUAUUUUCAUCACCAUGUAUAAAUAUUGGAGCAGUUCCUUAAAUUAACCCUAAUUAUAUAAGCUUAAUAAGAAAAGAGACGUAUUCCUCACCCACAAAUACAUGUAUAUCCCAAUAAAAAAAGUUACUCAAACAGGUGUUUUGUCUUGCUACUUCAUAAAAUAAAAGUUUAGGAUAAAAUUUUAAAGCAAACUAUCAGAAUUUUCUCCCAUAGAAAUGUUAACCAUCUCCCUGAAAUUUUCAUGUGUAUUCUUUUACUAGAAAUUACUAAGAAGCUAAUAUUGCUACCCAACUGGAAGCAGACUGUAGAACACAAGGAUAUAUCCUUAACCUUAUAAAAAAGCCCUGGAAUUUUUAAUGAGCAGAAGUGGUCAGAACCUCAGUCACACAUCUCAUCCAAUAGAUGGUUCUCCUGCACCACAGUGCUCCAUAACCCAGGGCUGAGAGUUGGCUCCGGACCACCUUGGGAUGGAAGAGGGCCACCUACUGAAUCACCGCCACCACAUCCUGCAGCAUCUUCCAUCCAAGUCUUCCCUGGGCCCACCCCUGCUGAACUCGCAAGGUGAGCUACUUGAGAGUGCUCUGCACCAGGUCUCUGAAGCUGCCAGUGAGAUUGUGCUCCAGCUGCCCAUUGAUGGGAACCUGCUAUUUAAUGCACCUGCUUUCUUUCCUUUCCAUCGUUGUCUCACUUCCACACUCCUCCACCAGUGAAUCCUGAGGAUUAUUUCUCAAAUAAAUUUCUUACAUUCAGA